rnacentral:rRNA from 1 species
GAUGAACGCUGGCGGCGUGCUUAACACAUGCAAGUCGAACGAUGAAGCCCAGCUUGCUGGGUGGAUUAGUGGCGAACGGGUGAGUAACACGUGAGUAACCUGCCCUUAACUCUGGGAUAAGCCUGGGAAACUGGGUCUAAUACCGGAUAGGAGCGCCUACCGCAUGGUGGGUGUUGGAAAGAUUUAUCGGUUUUGGAUGGACACGCGGCCUAUCAGCUUGUUGGUGAGGUAAUGGCUCACCAAGGCGACGACGGGUAGCCGGCCUGAGAGGGUGACCGGCCACACUGGGACUGAGACACGGCCCAGACUCCUACGGGAGGCAGCAGUGGGGAAUAUUGCACAAUGGGCGAAAGCCUGAUGCAGCGACGCCGCGUGAGGGAUGACGGCCUUCGGGUUGUAAACCUCUUUCAGUAGGGAAGAAGCGAAAGUGACGGUACCUGCAGAAGAAGCACCGGCUAACUACGUG